UUGGUUGACUUUCACAAAAACUAAGAGAAUAUUUUAAAAUUUAGCAGAAGAUUUAGACAUUUGUUAAAAGGGUAUUUGGACUUAUGGAAGUAAGAGGGAUUAUGAUGAGAUGCUAGUUAAAAUCGUGCCAGCAGCUGCGGUUAUACGGUUAGAGGUUUUAGAGGUUUUAUUGAAAAUCUAUAUAAUUAAGAUAGGUGGUGAAAUACGGAGUCUUAGGGUAAUAGAAAUAGAGUGUAUAUAACUAAAUAGAUUAGAUACCUGUGUAGUUAGUUAUUAUAGUUAAGAUUUGAGGAAGAUUUAAAUAGUGUGGCGGUACAUUUGAAAGAUAGGGGGACUUGGAUGAGGAUAUUAAACCUAAGUGGGGUCUAGUUUUUGCUUUUUGUAUGAUUGUAUAGGUUGUAUUCGAUUUUAUAUAAAUUAUAUAUAGGGUAACUGGAAAUUUCUGAGUUUUUGUUGUAAUAUAAAUAAAGGAUUUAUGAGUAGUUAAAAAAUUAUGAAUAUAUCGAGUGUGAGUACAUAUCGCCCGUCAGUACCCCAAGGGUACAAGUCGUAACAUAGUGAUUCUACUUGAAAGUGGGGUUU
rnacentral:rRNA from 1 species